rnacentral:lncRNA from 1 species
GUCAAGGUUCAAUCUGUUAAUAUUCAUACAUUUUUAUCAAUUAAAGCAAGACGUAAAUGCAUCUCCCAGAAGUUUUUUGUUUACAUUGCUGUCUUGGGCGAGUGGCGAGUUGAGAAAAGCUCGUUUUAUCGAUCGACAAAAAUGAGUUGAUAAGGAGAGAAUAGCUUUACAAAAAACGGUUAGAGGUCACGCGGAACUCGAAUUGAGCACCUCUGUGUCAAAAAUGGUUACAUGUGCAGCGCGACGCGCAUAACGGCUCGCGCACAUACGUCAUUUAAAUCAGUUCGAAUACUUACGUCGCGCGUGUUUGGAGUUCGGAGGUUAUAAAAAUUCGCAUUGUUAAUCACUUGAAUCGUACACACGCAUGACACAGUGAGAUACUGAGAUUGUUUACGUUGGAAACAGAUCAAACCAAUAUAUGAUGGCAUUGGGCAGCGUUUGAACGACACAUAGUGACUAUUGGAUGAAAAGAAUACACUGCCGGCGCAUUAGAGGGUGUCCUGGGCGUGAAGGUGUCCGUCAUAAUUUGCCACCCGGCGCAUAAUCCCCGUGACAAAGGCCGACAAAGUGACGGCUGUUACUUGGACCGGCGCGGCGGCGCACCGUAUACUAGCUGCAGGGAAUCCGGUAGCAGGUAAAACGUUUAAAGAUACCGUGCGCCGCAGUCAAAGAGAUGAAUCACGCCGUAGAUAAAUGGCCGCGAUCUGAACGGCUUUUUACGGUGAGGCGAGGCGCGGCGCACUCAUGCGAGCUCCGAGUGGAUUCGCAAAUCCAUCGAUAGUUUAUUAUCGUUAGUGUACGUGAUGAAGAGAAACAGAGAAACAUUCGUUGUUUUCUUCGGCAAAUACAUUUUUUUCUUCAUAGUUUUUGUCGGAAAAUUUUAUUUUAAAUGACAACAUUAAAAUUUACUUUUUUCUCUAUUACUCUAAUAUUGCAUAUGAAUGUAAAUACUCAUCUUAAUCCUUAAUUUCAAAUGAUUAAUAGUUUUUUAGAGAAAUAUUAUAGAAAUUGUAUCGAUAAAUGUAUAUUAUAUUAUUUGCAAUUGUAGCAGAUACAGAGAUAAAUAAGCUAUUUGUUAGAAAAUUAUUAUGUUUUUAUCCCUAAACGAUAUUAGUCCUUUUAUGUUUAAUAAUCUUCUUCGUUUUUGGAAAAUAAACGGAUUCGAUUAUCGCAUUUUUACUGAAAUUUAUCUUUUUUAAAAUGUUUCUUUUCUUGUCACACAUAGUACAUAUAUAACAGUUUCAUAAAAUAAAAACAAAUUUCAUUAUAAUAGAUUAGAUAACUUAAAAUAUUUCCUAUUAUAAUUCUCGAUCUCGGUUUUUGUUUAAAUAAUUCUUGUCGAUUUUACAACUCGAUAAGAUUUUAUUAGAUUCCAUUCUGCGUACACAUUUUUUCAAUUUUUGAACGAUUUAAUGUGUAUAUGGUUUUUUAAAUUUUUAUAAAAAUAAAAUAAUAGAUUACUUGAUUUGAUAUAUAUUCCUAUCAUACAAGAUAAUAAAAUGUUUAUAUAUAAAAUGCAUAAACAGAAUAUUAACGAGUUUUUAAUAAUACUAACGCAUAGGAUACAUAUACAAGCAGAAUUUUAAUCUAUUUAAAAUUUAAAUUUUAGAAUUUAUAAAAAUUAACUUACAGUAUAUUCAACAAAUAAUGAUAUUUAUUAUAUUUAACAAUAUUUAAUUUAAGGCUGAAUAUAAAUAGCUGAGAUAUUUUAUUUCUAUCGGUUUAAGAUAUAAAGAGGCCAUCGAUCCCUUUUAUCUUUCCGCGUAAGUAAAUGAUCUCAAACUUUAGCAUCGGAGCAGAAAUGACGUUGAACGGCAAUGCCCUGCUUUACGGAUCCGUCCUUCACAAAAGAAGCAUUUGCUUCCGCGAGAUUAAGGAGCUGGCUGAUCCGACUCCCCCGUCGCGAAUUCAUUUGUUCCACACCUGAUUCCCUCUCGAGGUUGACUGAUUCUCGUGGUUGGUGAUGCGUGGCAUUCCGCCGAUGCGGCGUGCGCGAAUGCACACGCAUGGAAUGAUAGAGAAAGAAAGGAAUAAAGAAAGAAAAAGAGAGAGAAAGAGGUGCAAUUUAUUCAUACUUUGGGACAUAAAUUCCCUAAGGGCAUACAGGAAAGAAUAUAACUUUAGGAAUGACAUAUAAAAUACAAUAACAGUGAAAUAAUAAUGAAAAUAAGUAAGAUUAUAAUUUACGAAAAUAUAUAAUUCCACGUCUACGUAUGUGAGUGUGAGAUUAAGUUAACAUCUUUAUACAAAUAUUAAUUGAUUAAGAUACAGAGUUAUAUGCUUGUGUAAUAUGCUAUAACUCUAUCUUAAAUCUAAACAAAAUUGUACAUAUAUAUAUUGUAAUUAUAUAUAACCUAUGUAUGAUAUGCCUAUGUACGAUAUGUAUAAGAUGUAGAACUUACAUAAACGUCUUUCUAUAUAGACAUGCACAUCUUUUUUACAAGUUACAAAACAUAAUAAAUUUCGGCUUUAUUUUAUUCCCUCCCAAUCGUAAAACACAAUAAAGGUCCCAGAGAGAUUUGGACAAUAUCAAAUGCCUGUCUUUUGAUUAGUAAUAAUAUAGCUGCAAGAAAACGCGAUGUAGAGAAAGAGGCAGAGAGAAACAGAGAGGGAUGCAUAAGGGAGACGAAAACAGGUUAAAAAUAGCCAGAGAGUGGAUCGCGGUCGGCAUCUUUGAAAGAGGGCCGCGCGUCUUACUGGCCGGCCGGAGAGUCGUUGAUCGUUCGCAUCGCGUUUCGUCGUCGUCUGGAUGUUGAUGAUGAUGGUGAGAGACCGUCUCGUUACCAUUACGAGGGCCGUCCGGCCGGCUAACACGCACCGCAAACCACGCAUUACCAUAACCGCGCGGCGCGGCGCAGCGGGGUUGUUGCUGCGGCUCCUUCCUCGGGAGGAAUUGGCGAAAGUAAGCGUCAGCUUUCGACGCGCUCUCGCGACUUAACGAGCGCGGUUCCGCGAGUAACGGAGGGGACUAGGAGGAGAAGUUCUGCGAGGGUGCUAGAUUACAUCCUCUCGAAACGGCUUUCAUCCCCACCUGCUGCGGGCGAACUUUUACACAAAAUUACUUUCAACGGCAUUCGGUGCAAUUUCCAUGGUAUUUUAGAAUAUUUUGAACAUAUCAAGAUUCCAUUAGAAUCCCACCUCCCCUCCCCCCUACAAAAAGAAGAAUUCGGUUACGUUCAUUUUACGAAAUGGCGUUUGCCUGUUUUGUAUUCAACGCGAUUUAUAUUACGGCGAAUUCAUUAACUCAUACAACAAUUGUAAAAUUGAUUUAAUGAUACGUUGUGUGUACUAAAAGACCGCAGUUACAGAAUGAAUAUUUAUUAUUUUUCAUUAUCAUCGAUUUCAUCAACUGGUCGCAUGUAACAGAGAAUAAUGUAGCAUGCAAAUUCAACAUUAAAUUAAAAACGUGCGCGCAAUUCCUCCCCGUUAUAUGCAUGAAUAUAUGUUUCUCUGGAGAACAAAGCCCUGUGAUCUAUUUCCGUUGUUUAAGUAGCUUAUCACAUAUUUUAAUACCAAUACAAUGAAACAAUCAUAUUAUCAUUCUGUGACUUAAAAAUAAAAGAACAGCGUUUUAUGCUUGUGUAACCGUAUUACAUUUUCUUCGUUCUUUGCCACGAGUCACAGAUAAGAUAAUACCUCGAAUGUAUCGGUGCAAAGUUGUCGAACUCUCCAAGGAAAUCAUCUUUCGCUUCUACUUGCUUCUAUUUGCUUUCUAUGAAUAUUGGUAUAUAAACGUGUCUUUUAACAUAGAAAUUGUCAGUUAUUUCCUUUCUUGGAUGUUUCUCUCGCCACUCUUACGGUAAUAGGUUAUCGUUCAUGAGUUUAUAGGUAUAUCGCGGAUAUUGAGAUCUCGAUCUUCGCGCGAGAAUCAACUCGCGAGAGGCUCGGUAUCUUUUGCCGGAUGACGGUGCAUAUGAAAUCUUCUAUAGUCUUUUUUUCUUUUCUCGUGCCGCUUCGCCGGUAGAUCAGUCCCCUUAACGGUGCGAGGAUACGUCCGGAUGAAGGCGAAACGAGAUAUACGUUUGAUUCCAGCAAUUGAGUUGUCUACGGGAAUAGAUGUCGGACUUUGCCAUUCUUCGGCUUAGCUUCGACUUAGCUGUGCGUUUCCGCUCCAAUCGGGUGAUGUUCAGAUAAAAGCCAAGGUGCGUGAUAUUCUCUGUAUUCUUGCGAUUACUUCUAUGCAACGUGAUAUUUACUUAGGACUGAAUGCUUCUUUUCAUUAAUGCAAUAUAUAAUCCUUUAAAAAAUGCAUAGAAAAUACAUGAAAGAAAAGCAAAUCCGUUUUCUCUUGACAUUUUAAAGAAUUCUGCACACAAUAGAUUUAUACCAACGAUAAUGGUUGAAUACAGUCCAAUAUUCUAUGCACUUUAAUCUAUAGGGCAACGUUAUUUCUUAUCCAUAUAUGCUAAUCAUAGAUUGAUUCUGAAACUAGUAUACUCUAUAAGUCGAUACAUGAUAUCAAAACAUCCUAAGGCAAAUAUUUUAUCUAUAUCCUAGGCGUUUGGAUACAUCGCAACAUGUCUAGGAGAGAACAAAUAUUUGCAUAUACUCCUAAGACUAAAUCCAGCAAUUAAUAUAACGUCUGGCAAUAAUCAACGACGGUGGGCAUAUAUCACUUCUAUUUAGAUCAAAACAUCCGUAAAAGGAGGGGUAGAGCGGCAAGGAAAGACCUGAAAAAAUCGGCGUAAAUAUCUGCCGUAAUUUACGUCGGUAGGUCCGAAAGAAAGAAAAAGGAGACAACGGUGAGGAAGGAAGAGAGAAAGCAGGAGAUAGGCGCAUGUGAAAGGGUAAAGGGAAGGAAGAGACGAGGAAGGAAGAAAGAGCAGGUGGCAAGAUAGGGUAUACGCCAGUGGAUUAAGGCACGGAGCGGCGAGUCAAAGAGAUUUUCUCCCUGGCUCGUCUCGGCAGGGGCCCCUCGUCCUAACAAGGGCUGAAAUAUGACUGCCUUGCCCUGCCUCGCCUUCACUUGCUCGCUCGUUCGCUUGGCUCGGCUUCGCCGCGCCGCGCCGCGCCGCGCUGUGCCGCGCCGCAGCGUGCGCGUCUUCCGAACGCCGCGCUGUACGAAGGAAAAGUGAAGGAGAUAUCUGCUGGCAACUAAUUUAUCGGUUGGCCUGCUUGCCGACGAUCCGCGGGAUCAAUGCACUUCCCCGGCGACGGGUUCAUAAACUAGCUCUAACAUAGGUCGCGAUUCGUGUCGACAUUAAUUAGCUGCACGACGAGGAAAUUCGAGAAAAUGCAAUGAAGUUGGCCAAGAGUAAAGAAAUUAGCAAAAGGGAUUGUCGAUUCUAUAUUAAUUAGCCCUAUCGUGCAAAAAUUAAGCAAUGCGAAAUUUUUACGUAAUAUUUUUUUUAAUAGAAACAAAUUUGUUUUAACAAAAAUAGGCUGUUUAAGUGCGAAAAAGGUGAAAAUAAACAGUCAUUGGCGAAUAUUAAUCGUAUAUAUUCAGUCAGAUAAAAUUUAAAUGAGUUUCAUGUUAACAAAAUUUGAAUAUCAGUCAUUUAAGAGAAGGCAAAUUAUAAGAUAUUAAAUGACAAUAUUAAGGUGACUUUAGACCUAAGAACGAUGGAAUGUUUAACGUUGAUCAAUGUUGCAUAUUAGACUGAUGAUAUAUUUAAAACUUGAUUACAUUAUCUAACAAAAUUUGAUCUUUUGUUUACAAUAUGAAUGCAACUAAUCAUUUUCAACAAUUUUUUGCUUGCUGACUAAGAAUUUGUUGUCAAAUUUGACAUGUCUCAAUUUUGAGAAAGAUGACAUUAAAGAGUAAAAAAUGAUUUUAAGGGUUUUUAUGAUGUUGUAGUUAAUUUUUUUAAAUUUUACUUAUAGCAUCCAAAAAUAUUAACUGAUAAUUUUAAAAUGCAUUUUGGUUUGUUUUGAUAUCAUUUUCUGUUUUUGAGAUACAGCAAUUGAAAAAAAAUCUUGUAACACGCAUUGUUAUUGAAAUAUUUCAAAAAUGAAAAAUUAUAUAAAAACGCACCAAAAUGCAUUUUAAAGCUACAAGUUGAUACUUUCGUGUGACAAAAAAUUUGAUGUCAUAACACAAAAAUUAAAAUAGCAAUUUUUUAUUCUUUGAUGUUACUUUUUUUAAAAUUGUGAUGUAAUAACUAAAAUUAGACAAUUUGUGUACAGCGGAAUAUACAUCGAAAAUGAAUUCAUGGAAAAAGGAAAAAAUUCUAUUUGUACGGAAAAUGAGAUUAAAUUGCUGUAUCUUGAAAAUAAAAAUCAUAUUGAAACAAAUCAAAGUACAUUUUAAAGCUAAAGCUAAUCUCGUUAUUAAAAUUUAGGAAAAAUUACUAUUUGUAUUCACGCUGCAAAAUGACGUUAUCAGAAUAUAAUCGAUAAAAA